rnacentral:rRNA from 1 species
AAUUUUGGACAAUGGGGGAAACCCUGAUCCAGCCAUCCCGCGUGUAUGAUGAAGGCCUUCUGGUUGUAAAGUACUUUUGGCAGAGAAGAAAAGGUAUCUCCUAAUACGAGAUACUGCUGACGGUAUCUGCAGAAUAAGCAACGGCCAACUACGUGCCAGCAGCCGCGGUAAUACGUAGGGUGCAAGCGUUAAUCGGAAUUACUGGCCUUAAAGCGUAUGUAGGCGGUGCGGAAAGAAAGAUGUGAAAUCCCAGGGCUAAGCCUUGGAUCUGCAUUUUUAACUGACGAGCUAGAGUAUGUCAGAGGGGGGUAGGAUUCCACGUGUAGCAGUGAAAUGCGUAGAUAUGUGGAGGAAUACCGAUGGCGAAGGCAGCCCCCUGGGAUAAUACUGACGCUAAGACACGAAAGCGUGGGGAGCAAACA